rnacentral:rRNA from 1 species
CUUUACUGUAGCUUUGCAUUGGACUUUGAAUCGGUCUGUGUAGGAUAGGUGGGAGGCUGUGAAACCGGGACGCUAGUUUCGGCGGAGCCAACCUUGAAAUACCACCCUGAUUUAUUUGAGGUUCUAACCUUGAUCCGUGAAUCCGGAUCGGGGACCGUGCAUGGUGGGCAGUUUGACUGGGGCGGUCUCCUCCCAAAAGGUAACGGAGGAGUACGAAGGUACGCUUAGGGCGGUCGGACAUCGCCCAUAAAGUGCAAUGGCAAAAGCGUGCUUGACUGCGAGACCCACAAGUCGAGCAGGUGCGAAAGCAGGUCAUAGUGAUCCGGUGGUUCUGUAUGGAAGGGCCAUCGCUCAACGGAUAAAAGGUA